CUGAUACUCAUAAGUUUUUUUCUCUUCAUUGUUCCGGCGAGUUCAUCGCCUCGGGAUAUUGCUAUUUUACUCCGGGUUAAGUCCGCCCAACUCGAUGACCCGAAUGGGUUGAUUGCUGAUUGGAACGGGUCUGCUCCAAAUGCGCCUUGCAGCUGGAACGGGAUCAAGUGUGAUCGUAGAACCGGUCAGGUUCUGUCCAUUGAUUUUGGGAG
rnacentral:misc_RNA from 1 species